rnacentral:tRNA from 1 species
GAGGGUAUGGCUCAGUGGUGGAGUGCAUGCUUAGCAUGCACGAGGUCCUGGGUUCAACCCCUAGUACCUCCA